CUGAUGGCCAUGGAGACUGACAGGCUCUGUUACCUACAGGGCUGAGACAUAUGGGCAGAGGAACUGCAGGUUUCCCCACAAUGUCCACUCCAUGUUUCAACCCUGAACAGGAGGGGCCACCUGUACAGGUGUGAGUCUAGCUCAGUCUCCAUAUCUAUUUAGGUGAUGGCCUUG
ensembl:misc_RNA